AAAAUUUGAUAUAUAUACAUCGCCAAAGAAACGUUUCACCAUAAAGAAUAACCAAGGUAUUCAAUAUGUCUGGAAAUGGAGAGCAUUUGGGACAAUCUUAAGUAUUUUAGUCAAAUAAUUAGAAAUAUGAGUAUUAUGUUUUCUAUAAUUUGUGAAUCAUAUGUAUGCUUUUUAAACCCCUCAAAUGCAUUUAAAUGAAAUAGCAUAUAGUCAAAAAAUGAGAAACCAAAUUUCAAAAGAAUAUACAAAUAGAAAGUAUACAGUGUCGCCAUAAGCUUUCUGUUAUAAUGCUUUCUGUACAGACAAUGCAUUUAAAGAGCACUUUUAAUCUUUAUUUUUUUAGUCUAUUUGAAAAAUCAGACCUUUUAGAUAAAGCUCCCAAUCAGAACAAAAACAAAUUUCACUUAAAUUUUGACUUUUAAAAUUUGUUGAAUGUAGAAAAAGAAAAUGAGUAAUC
rnacentral:miRNA from 1 species